AUGGGCAUCCUGGACGCGGUGUCGGACAUGUGCGCGUGCCCGACGGUGCGCACGCGGCGGCACAUCAAGAAGCGGCCGCAGCUGGAGACGGUGGAGAUGAAGGUGCGGAUCGACUGCGAGGGCUGCGAGCGCCGCAUCCGCAAGGCCGUCGACGGCAUCCGCGGGGUCACCGGCGUCGAGGUGCUCCCCAAGCAGAACAAGGUGGCCGUCACCGGGUACAUCGACGACCCGGCCAAGCUGAUGCGGCGGGUGGCGCGCAAGACCGGCAAGAAGGUGGAGCCGUGGCCGUACGUGCCCUACGACGUGGUGCCGCACCCCUACGCCCCCGGCGCCUACGACAAGAAGGCGCCUCCCGGCUACGUCCGGAACGUCGUCGCCGACCCCGACGCCGCGCCGCUCGCCAGGGCCUCCUCCACCGAGGUCAAGUACACCUCCGCCUUCUCCGACGAGAACCCCAACGCGGCAUGCGCCGUCAUGUAG
rnacentral:rRNA from 1 species